GAACAUUGCAUACUUAACGGUGAUGGU
rnacentral:piRNA from 1 species